CCUACGGGUGGCAGCAGUGAGGAAUAUUGGUCAAUGGGCGCGAGCCUGAACCAGCCAAGCCGCGUGAGGGAAGACGGCUCUAUGGAUUGUAAACUUCUUUUGUCGGGGAAUAAAGGCGGAGACGCGUCUCUGGAUGAGAGUAUCCGAAGAAAAAGGAUCGGCUAACUCCGUGCCAGCAGCCGCGGUAAUACGGAGGAUGCGAGCGUUAUCCGGAUUUAUUGGGUUUAAAGGGUGCGUAGGCGGGAGAUAAAGUUAGCGGUAAAAUGUCGGGGCUCAACCCCGGCCGGCCGUUGAAACUGGUUUGCUAGAGAUGGAGAGAGGUAUGCGGAAUGCAUGGUGUAGCGGUGAAAUGCAUAGAGAUCACAAAGAACUCCGAUUGCGAAGGCAGCAUACCAGCUCCAUACUGACGCUGAGGCACGAAAGCGUGGGGAUCAAACAGGAUUAGAUACCCUAGUAGUC
rnacentral:rRNA from 1 species